AACUAAGUUUGUUAUUGGUAUGAGCUUUUGUGUGCAUGCACACUUCUUCAGAUACACCGAAACAGAAGUAUCUGAAGAAGUGUGCAUGCACACAAAAGCUCAUACCAAUAACAAACUUAGUUGG
rnacentral:miRNA from 1 species